GGUACAUCGGUGACAGGUGGUGCAUGGUUGUCGUCAGCUCGUGUCGUGAGAUGUUGGUUAAGUCCCGCAACGAGCGCAACCCCUAUUGUUAGUUGCCAUCAUUCAGUUUGGGCACUCUAGCGAGACUGCCGGUAAUAAACCGGAGGAAGUGGGAUGACGUCAAUCAUCAUGCCCCUUAUGACCUGGGCUACACACGUGCUACAAUGGUUGGUACAACGAGUUGCGAGUCGGUGACGGCGAGCUAAUCUCUUAAAGCCAAUCUCAGUUCGGAUUGUAGGCUGCAACUCGCCUACAUGAAGUCGGAAUCGCUAGUAAUCGCGGAUCAGCACGCCCGCGGUCGAAUACGUUCCCGGGCCUU
rnacentral:rRNA from 1 species